UAAAACUCUUGUUUGAGGCCUCCUUUGAGCCUUGUUUAUUUUGUCAAGAUCAAAAGAACCAGUUGCCUUCAGUAGUUUUCUAGCAAGCUUUCCAGUAUUUGUAUUGCAUUCUGGCCUAAACAGCGUCACAACCCACCAAGCUCCAUACUGUAGCGACAACUCUGCGCUUAAUUCCACCUCAAGCAAGGACGUGAUUGAGCAUCUAGUCUGAGCCAAUGAUGAAGACGUUCGCAUGUUUGCUUCUUCUAAUGUGUCUCAGUUGUGUCUUUGCCACGAAAAUGGAGGAAGAGACACUGAGGGCACUGUUGAUCGAGACGCUAAAGGAAUUGAAGAAUCAGGAAGUGGAAAGAGGAGUUUAUUGCAACGGGAAGUGGUGCGGACCUGGGCAAGAGUGCGUGAUGUCGUCACACGGAAAGGUUUGCUGGGAUACAUAAUGUGCCGGAGGCAAUGUCCUACCUUUAGGCCUACCCUGCAUGGAUGAGUGACGAAAUGGAAACGAAAUGCGACGACUGAUUCUUGAUGUUCAAGUUAUAAGACUGAGUAGUUUUAAGGACUCCAUGGUAGCAGAUUAAAUGAUCGUUGUAUUAUCUUGUUAACUUACUGCUUUGUAAUGCUAAUUCCAUGGGGCGUCUUUUGUAUUGUGCUGUUCUUGUAAUCUUAACAAGACCUCUGCAUCUGUAACGUCAUCCAGAAAUUUGAUUUGAUUUGAAUCUGCUAAUAAACGGAAGCAGUCAGACGGAUAAUUGUCCGAACAACGUAAUAACCUCCCCUUUACUGAAGACAAGUAAGAUUUCCAAGCUCAGAAAAACAUAUAAAUUAAAUUAAUCAUUGUGUCUGUCUAAAAAUUACAAUAGAUGUACAUCAUGAUAUACUUCCGUGUCAGUGCAACCAAAAACAACAACAUCACAAAGAGGGGAUGAAUGCGUAUUGCAGACAAUAAACCCCACCGUAAAUCCUUCAUUAUGGUGUAUCUUUCAUCGCAAACACAAACAAAACUCCAGCAAAUAAACAAACAAAAUAAAACAAAAAUGUUAUCACUAUAUUAGAAUGAUGUAUUAGAAAUUUUAAAACAUUGCACAUUCGCUCGUUCAGUUCCAUAAGCGAAACAGGUCGUAUUUUCUUACUCUCUUACUCUCUCUAUUUUUUUCCUCUGCAGUACGUUCACAUUUCUGUCAACAGUUGCUUAGUUAUAGUUAAUAAAGGUCAUUGAAUAUUCCAUCGA